UACCAGACUCCUACGGGAGGCAGCAGUGGGGGAUAUUGCACAAUGGGGGAAACCCUGAUGCAGCGAUGCCGCGUGAAUGAAGACGGCCUUCGGGUUGUAAAGUUCUGUCGCAGGGGACGAAAAUGACGGUACCUGACUAAGAAGCCCCGGCUAACUACGUGCCAGCAGCCGCGGUAAUACGUAGGGGGCAAGCGUUAUCCGGAUUUACUGGGUGUAAAGGGAGCGUAGGCGGCCAUUCAAGCCAGAUGUGAAAGCCCGGGGCUCAACCCCGGGACUGCAUUUGGAACUGUGUGGCUGGAGUGCAGGAGGGGCAGGCGGAAUUCCUGGUGUAGCGGUGAAAUGCGUAGAUAUCAGGAGGAACACCGGUGGCGAAGGCGGCCUGCUGGACUGCAACUGACGUUGAGGCCCGAAAGCGUGGGGAGCAAACAGGAUUAGAUACCCUCGUACG
rnacentral:rRNA from 1 species